UACGGAGGGUGCAAGCGUUAUCCGGAUUCACUGGGUUUAGAGGGUGCGUAGGCGGGCAGGUAAGUCAGUGGUGAAAUCUCCGGGCUUAACCCGGAAACUGCCGUUGAUACUAUCUGUCUUGAAUAUCGUGGAGGUAAGCGGAAUAUGUCAUGUAGCGGUGAAAUGCUUAGAUAUGACAUAGAACACCCAUUGCGAAGGCAGCUUACUACACGAUCAUUGACGCUGAGGCACGAAAGCGUGGGGAGCAAACAGG
rnacentral:rRNA from 1 species